CUACGGGGGGCACCAGUGAGGAAUAUUGCACAAUGGGGGGAACCCUGAUGCAGCAACGCCGCGUGGAGGAUGACGCAUUUCGGUGUGUAAACUCCUUUUAUAUGUCAAGAAAAUGACGGUAGCAUAUGAAUAAGCACCGGCUGAACUCCGUGCCAGCAGGCCGCGGUAAUACGGAGGGUGCAAGCGUUACUCGGAAUCACUGGGCGUAAAGGACGCGUAGGCGGGUUGGAAAGUCAGGUGUGAAAUCCUACAGCUUAACUGUAGGACUGCACUUGAAACUUCUAAUCUAGAGUAUGGGAGGGGGAGAUGGAAUUAGUGGUGUAGGGGUAAAAUCCGUAGAUAUCACUAGGAAUACCUAAAGCGAAGGCGAUCUCCUGGAACAUUACUGACGCUAAGGCGUGAAAGCGUGGGGAGCAAACAGGAUUAGAUACCCGUGUAGUC
rnacentral:rRNA from 1 species